rnacentral:rRNA from 1 species
UACGUAGGGUGCGAGCGUUGUCCGGAUUCAUUGGGCGUAAAGAGCGUGUAGGCGGCCAGGUAGGUCGGUUGUGAAAACUGGAGGCUCAACCUUCAGAGGUCGACCGAAACCAUCUGGCUAGAGUCCGGGAGAGGAGAGUGGAAUUCCUGGUGUAGCGGUGAAAUGCGCAGAUAUCAGGAAGAACACCCGUGGCGAACGCGGCUCUCUGGAACGGUACUGACGCUGAGACGCGAAAGCGUGGGGAGCGAACAGG